rnacentral:tRNA from 1 species
GGUGGUUUAGUGGUUGGUUAAGAGUUUGGCUGCUAACCAAGAGGUCGGUGGUUCGAGUCCACCAGCCGCUC